UUGGAGGGCAAGUCUGGUGCCAGCAGCCGCGGUAAUUCCAGCUCCAAUAGCGUAUAUUAAAGUUGUUGCAGUUAAAAAGCUCGUAGUUGAAUUUCGGGAUUGACACAUCGGUCGUGCCUUAAGGGGUAUGAACUGGUGUAGUCAAUUUCUCACCUUCUGGAGAACCGCGAUGCCCUUAAUUGGGUGUCGCGGGGAACCAGGACCUUUACUUUGAAAAAAUUAGAGUGUUUAAAGCAGGCAUUUUGCUUGAAUACAUUAGCAUGGAAUAAUAAAAUAGGACGGCAUGAUUCUAUUUUGUUGGUUUCUAGGAUCACCGUAAUGAUUAAUAGGGAUAGUUGGGGGCAUUAGUAUUCAAUUGUCAGAGGUGAAAUUCUUGGAUUUAUUGAAGACUAACUACUGCGAAAGCAUUUGCCAAGGAUGUUUUCAUUAAUCAAGAACGAAAGUUAGGGGACCGAAGACGAUCAGAUACCGUCGUAGUCUUAACCAUAAACUAUGCCGACUAGGAAUCAGACGAUGUUAAUUUUUUAAUGACUCGUUUGGCACCUUACGGGAAACCAAAGUGUUUGGGUUC
rnacentral:rRNA from 1 species